GGACUGUAGCUCAGUGGUAGAGCACUUGCCUCGCAUGUGUGAGGCCCUGGGUCCAAUCCUCAGCACCA
rnacentral:tRNA from 1 species